UCUGCGGAAGAGAGAUAAGCCGAGAGAGAUAGGCGUCCUUGUCAGGUGGCACUGAUAAGAGGUCUCCUGCUUGUUGACUUUGGUCCUUGUGGGGGAGGGACCCUGUGGGGCUGCUGUUUUGAAGUCCACAGUUGGCUGCUGCUGCGGACACUUGCCAAAAAGCAUUUUAUUUGCUUUUCAGUGAUGUGGAAGGGAGCCCCGUGAGCUCUCCGGUUGCUGUUGCUGACACCGGAACCGCUUUGAUAGGGAAAGGCUCCGCCAAAGGACUUGGCCACCGGAGGCACAGAGUGGGAGGCCCCCACGUCGCAGCCUCUGCUGGGGUGUGGGGGUGGGGAGGCGACAGGGCCCACCCCCCCCUGCAGGUCCCCAGCCCCUGCCCCCUUGGAAGGCGGUUGCAUCAUUCAGCCCGUGAGAAAGGUCAAAGUUACUUCCGUGCAGCUGUGGUCCUCCUGGUGGGUGUUGUCUUUGCUUUGCGGUUCCGUCCCCCUCUUGUCUUAGGAAUGUUGGACUGAGAGUGUCCACAAGGUGCCCCGGGACACGUCUGCAGGGGGCUGAACCAGGGCUGACUGUGUGACUUGCGUUCCCCACCGCAUCAACCAGUCUGCGUCGGAUUCACUGGGGCUUUGGGCGACCUUCUGACCCCGCUUGCCGCCGCAGUUUCGGGGAUUACGGGGAAACACUUCUACGGAAGGCAGGACCGAGGCAGGCGGGUUGAGGUCGUCAGUGCAGAGCGGCCUGCGUGCGAGAUGUCCACCUGCCUCAUCCCGGGCGUCCUGAACCUCAGGAGUCGGUGCCCUCGUGAGUCUGGUCGAGCUGGCCAGGCGGCCAAGGAAGCACUCGGCGAGCCAGAGGCUGAGUCAGAGCGGUGAUGGCGUGGGCUGCCUGCCGGCUCCGGACCGUCUCUGCCGGAGCUGGGGAGCUGGCCCUGCACCUGUGGCCGAGGGAGCGGGUUUUUUCCCCCGUGAAAUGGCACCUGCAGUGGUUCUGGGUGUGAUGUCCCCCUCUAGUGGCCACGUCGCUUCUUGCGGUUUUUGCACAAGGGAUACCUGGAGCUGAAGAACCUUCAGUCCAGGGGCACCGUGGGCUUGGGAAGGCUCCCGCGGGAGAAGGCGGCCCCUGAAGGGUGGCAGCUCUGGUCUCUGGGUUCCUCAGGACCGGGCGGCGCCGGAGGACGUGCCCUGCAGAGGGGAGGAGAGGCCCGGGGGCGGUCUGUGCUCGUACUCCGAUUACUUUCUGCAUCUCCGCUGCCUUUGUCAGUAGUUAUCAUUAGUAACUGGCAAGCAUCACUUCCAAACCUUUGUGUUUUUUUUAAAUUGUAAGAACAGCAAAAGGCGUAAGGUGAAACUAGAAGCUCUAAGAUACGCGCAGACUGUGCUUAGAGGCCCUGCGUUCCGGGACUGGCGUCUGCUGCUCCCAGAUCCUGGCCAGCAGGUAACGACUCUCGGCAGCUGGUGUGUCUCCCCAGGCUUCUCCCUGCGCGUUCGCAAAACAUAUGUUCCAGCGUGUGUAUGGGUGCACAGUGCAGACUAUGUGUACGUGUAUGCGCAGGCGCACAGGAACCAUGGGAGAGAGCGCUCGUUCCAAGCAGCCGCCCGCGGGAGCCAGCAGGCGGCGGCAGUCGCAGCGCCCCCUGGCGGCCCCGCCAGAGCCGGCUCUCCCUCGGCCCCACCACGGCUCGCGGGCACCUCCCAGGAGGGCGCUCACACCCACAGCCGGGGCCCGGGUUUCUGUAACUGUCGCCCGGAGUCACCUACAGAUCGCCUGGUCUGGAGGCCAGUGGGUUAACGAUUGCGGCCCCACAGGAAUGUACAUAUUGAUAUAUAUUAUAUAUAACACAUACAUUAAAAUAUAUAUGUGUGUGUGUGUGUGUGUAUAUAUGCUCGAACUUUAAAAGCUGCUGCCUGAGCGCCUCGCUCCCAGUGUGCCCAGGCACACCUUCAGUGCGGGGGACCCACGCGGAAUAAACCAGGCUGCUCCGACAAUCACAGAAGAGGGCGGAGCCAGGGCCACGGCGGACAGCAAGGAGUUUCUGCCCACGAGCUCUCCUGCAGGGCUGGGGGAGGUGGCUGUCUCGCCCACCGGAAACACACCCAGGGCCGGGCGAGGCGAGGAAGGAGAGGACUGGGGUCCAAACAGAAGGACCAGGUAACUAACACUUUAGGAGAAAAUCCUUAGUGAAACGGGCACGUGUAACUCACCCCGUAAAGAGGUCAAAGUCUCGGUCGUGCCGUGGCUCAUCAAACUCGGGAGAGACAGGGACACGGUGAGAACUUCAGCGCAGAGAGUGAAAACGUAAGGAGGUGUCUGUCACACAGACGUCUCAGAGCUGAAGGACGCGGUGACAGGACUGAGAGGUGCACUGGGAGGUCUGAGGACCAGACGAAGCUGGAGAGGGGACCGGCGACCCGGAAGACUGGGGCGGUGGAGGGCCCCCCAAC